UACGUAGGUGACAAGCGUUGUCCGGAUUUACUGGGCGUAAAGAGCGCGCAGGCGGUCGAUCAAGUCGAGUGUGAAAGCCCCCGGCUCAACUGGGGAGGGUCAUUCGAUACUGAUCGACUCGAAGGCAGGAGAGGGUAGUGGAAUUCCCGGUGUAGUGGUGAAAUUCGUAGAUAUCGGGAGGAACACCAGUGGCGAAGGCGGGUCGUCUGGGCCGAGUACUGACGCUGAGGAGCGAAAGCGUGGGAGCGAACAGG
rnacentral:rRNA from 1 species